rnacentral:rRNA from 1 species
GAAUAUUGGUCAAUGGGCGAAAGCCUGAACCAGCAAUGCCGCGUGAGUGAUGAAGGCCUUCGGGUUGUAAAGCUCUGUCAGUGGGAACGAAUAAGCCGUUUAAUACACGGUGGUGACGGUACCCACAAAGGAAGCACCGGCUAACUCUGUGCCAGCAGCCGCGGUAAUACAGAGGGUGCAAGCGUUGUUCGGAAUUACUGGGCGUAAAGCGCGUGUAGGCGGUCUGGUAAGUCGGUUGUGAAAUCCCUUGGCUCAACCAAGGAACUGCAUCCGAAACUACUAGACUUGAGUAUCGGAGGGGAUGGCGGAAUUCCCGGUGUAGAGGUGAAAUUCGUAGAUAUCGGGAGGAACACCUGUGGCGAAGGCGGCCAUCUGGAAGAUUACUGACGCUGAGACGCGAAAGCGUGGGGAGCAAACGGG